rnacentral:rRNA from 1 species
CAAGUCGAGCGGAUGAUGGGAGCUUGCUCCUGGAUUCAGCGGCGGACGGGUGAGUAAUGCCUAGGAAUCUGCCUGGUAGUGGGGGACAACGUUUCGAAAGGAACGCUAAUACCGCAUACGUCCUACGGGAGAAAGCAGGGGACCUUCGGGCCUUGCGCUAUCAGAUGAGCCUAGGUCGGAUUAGCUUGUUGGUGAGGUAAUGGCUCACCAAGGCGACGAUCCGUAACUGGUCUGAGAGGAUGAUCAGUCACACUGGAACUGAGACACGGUCCAGACUCCUACGGGAGGCAGCAGUGGGGAAUAUUGGACAAUGGGCGAAAGCCUGAUCCAGCCAUGCCGCGUGUGUGAAGAAGGUCUUCGGAUUGUAAAGCACUUUAAGUUGGGAGGAAGGGUUGUAGAUUAAUACUCUGCAAUUUUGACGUUACCGACAGAAUAAGCACCGGCUAACUCUGUGCCAGCAGCCGCGGUAAUACAGAGGGUGCAAGCGUUAAUCGGAAUUACUGGGCGUAAAGCGCGCGUAGGUGGUUUGUUAAGUUGGAUGUGAAAGCCCCGGGCUCAACCUGGGAACUGCAUCCAAAACUGGCAAGCUAGAGUACGGUAGAGGGUGGUGGAAUUUCCUGUGUAGCGGUGAAAUGCGUAGAUAUAGGAAGGAACACCAGUGGCGAAGGCGACCACCUGGACUGAUACUGACACUGAGGUGCGAAAGCGUGGGGAGCAAACAGGAUUAGAUACCCUGGUAGUCCACGCCGUAAACGAUGUCAACUAGCCGUUGGAAUCCUUGAGAUUUUAGUGGCGCAGCUAACGCAUUAAGUUGACCGCCUGGGGAGUACGGCCGCAAGGUUAAAAACUCAAAUGAAUUGACGGGG